AUGAGCCUGCGAGUUUGCGGUGUGUUGCGAGGUUAACCCGUGUGGGGAAGCCGUAGCGAAAGCGAGUCCGAAUAGGGCGAUUCAGUAGCGCGCUCAAGACCCGAAGCGGAGUGAUCUAGCCAUGGGCAGGUUGAAGCGGAGGUAAGACUUCGUGGAGGACCGAACCCACCAGGGUUGAAAACCUGGGGGAUGACCUGUGGUUAGGGGUGAAAGGCCAAUCAAACUCCGUGAUAGCUGGUUCUCCCCGAAAUGCAUUUAGGUGCAGCGUCGUGUGUUUCUUGCCGGAGGUAGAGCACUGGAUAGGCGAUGGGCCCUACCGGGUUACUGACCUUAGCCAAACUCCGAAUGCCGGUAAGUGAGAGCACGGCAGUGAGACUGUGGGGGAUAAGCUCCAUGGUCGAGAGGGAAACAGCCCAGAGCAUCGACUAAGGCCCCUAAGCGUACGCUAAGUGGGAAAGGAUGUGGAGUCGCACAGACAACCAGGAGGUUGGCUUAGAAGCAGCCACCCUUGAAAGAGUGCGUAAUAGCUCACUGGUCUAGUGAUUCCGCGCCGACAAUGUAGCGGGGCUCAAGCGUACCGCCGAAGUCGUGUCAUUCACACAAUAGGGCCAACGCCUGUGUGGAUGGGUAGGGGAGCGUCGUGUGCCGGGUGAAGCUGCAGCGGAAGCUAGUGGUGGACGGUUCACGAGUGAGAAUGCAGGCAUGAGUAGCGAUACACACGUGGGAAACGUGUGCGCCGAUUGACUAAGGGUUCCUGGGUCAAGCUGAUCUGCCCAGGGUAAGUCGGGACCUAAGGCGAGGCCGACAGGCGUAGUCGAUGGAUAACCGGUUGAUAUUCCGGUACCCGCUGUGAAGCGUCAAACAUUGAACCAGGCGAUGCUAAGUCCGUGAAGCCGCCCCGGAGCCUUCGGGCAAGGGGGAGUGGUGGAGCCGACGGACCAGACCUGCAGUAGGUGAGUGAUGGGGUGACGCAGGAAGGUAGUCCAUCCCGGGCGGUGGUUGUCCCGGGGUAAGGGUGUAGGACGAAUGGUAGGCAAAUCCGCCAUUCACAUAGUCUGAGACCCGAUGCCGAGCCGAUUGUGGUGAAGUGGAUGAUCCUAUGCUGUCGAGAAAAGCCUCUAGCGAGUUUCAUGGCGGCCCGUACCCUAAACCGACUCAGGUGGUCAGGUAGAGAAUACCGAGGCGUUCGGGUGAACUAUGGUUAAGGAACUCGGCAAAAUGCCCCCGUAACUUCGGGAGAAGGGGGGCCAUCACUGGUGAGGAGAUUUACUCUCCGAGCUGGGGGUGGCCGCAGAGACCAGCGAGAAGCGACUGUUUACUAAAAACACAGGUCCGUGCGAAGCCGUAAGGCGAUGUAUACGGACUGACGCCUGCCCGGUGCUGGAACGUUAAGGGGACCGGUUAGUCAAGAUUCGUCUUGGCGAAGCUGAGAACUUAAGCGCCAGUAAACGGCGGUGGUAACUAUAACCAUCCUAAGGUAGCGAAAUUCCUUGUCGGGUAAGUUCCGACCUGCACGAAUGGCGUAACGACUUCUCGACUGUCUCAACCAUAGGCCCGGUGAAAUUGCACUACGAGUAAAGAUGCUCGUUUCGCGCAGCAGGACGGAAAGACCCCGGGACCUUUACUAUAGUUUGAUAUUGGUGUUCGGUUCGGCUUGUGUAGGAUAGCUGGGAGACUGUGAAGUGGGCACGCCAGUGUCUGUGGAGUCGUCGUUGAAAUACCAGUCUGGUCGUGCUGGAUGUCUAACCUGGGUCCGUGAUCCGGAUCAGGGACAGUGUCUGAUGGGUAGUUUAACUGGGGCGGUUGCCUCCUAAAGAGUAACGGAGGCGCCCAAAGGUUCCCUCAGCCUGGUUGGCAAUCAGGUGUUGAGUGUAAGUGCACAAGGGAGCUUGACUGUGAGACCGACGGGUCGAGCAGGGACGAAAGUCGGGACUAGUGAUCCGGCGGUGGCUUGUGGAAGCGCCGUCGCUCAACGGAUAAAAGGUACCCCGGGGAUAACAGGCUGAUCUUCCCCAAGAGUCCAUAUCGACGGGAUGGUUUGGCACCUCGAUGUCGGCUCGUCGCAUCCUGGGGCUGGAGUCGGUCCCAAGGGUUGGGCUGUUCGCCCAUUAAAGCGGUACGCGAGCUGGGUUUAGAACGUCGUGAGACAGUUCGGUCCCUAUCCGCUGCGCGCGCAGGAACAUUGAGAAGGGCUGUCCCUAGUACGAGAGGACCGGGACGGACGAACCUCUGGUGUGCCAGUUGUCCUGCCAAGGGCAUGGCUGGUUGGCUACGUUCGGGAGGGAUAACCGCUGAAAGCAUCUAAGCGGGAAGCCUGCUUCGAGAUGAGUGUUCCCACCCACUAGAUGGGGUAAGGCUCCCAGUAGACGACUGGGUUGAUAGGCCAGAUCUGGAAGCCCGGUAACGGGUGGAGGUGACUGGUACUAAUAGGCCGAGGGCUUGUCCUC
rfam:Streptomyces turgidiscabies Car8 gcontig_1113219321033, whole genome shotgun sequence.